CAGCAGUAGGGAAUAUUGCACAAUGGGGGAAACCCUGAUGCAGCGACGCCGCGUGAAGGAAGAAGUAUCUCGGUAUGUAAACUUCUAUCAGCAGGGAAGACAAUGACGGUACCUGACUAAGAAGCCCCGGCUAACUACGUGCCAGCAGCCGCGGUAAUACGUAGGGGGCAAGCGUUAUCCGGAUUUACUGGGUGUAAAGGGAGCGUAGACGGACGGGCAAGUCUGAAGUGAAAGGCAGGGGCUCAACCCCUGGACUGCUUUGGAAACUGUCCAUCUAGAGUGCCGGAGAGGUAAGCGGAAUUCCUAGUGUAGCGGUGAAAUGCGUAGAUAUUAGGAGGAACACCAGUGGCGAAGGCGGCUUACUGGACGGUAACUGACGUUGAGGCUCGAAAGCGUGGGGAGCAAACAGGAUUAGA
rnacentral:rRNA from 1 species